rnacentral:misc_RNA from 1 species
UUGACGAUCGACGACAUCGACGUGCCGGCUUGGCGGGAUCAGACUUCAAGGCGAGCACGCGCACCAAGGCAGGGAGCGAGCGCAGCCAAGCCUACGCCCGAGGCAAGGACCAGAGGUGAGGACCGGCGAGCCCCAUGGCGAGCUGGGAGCAGUGUUCGGCGACCUGGCGUCUUGCACGGUGACAGGAGUAAGCAGCUGGUUGCGAGGUCGCCGAGGAGCAUGGCCGCGCAGCCAGGCCAAGCUGAGGAGGAGCAGGGAUGGCGCGGGCCAAACACCGAGCCGUGGCUAGAAGGGACUCGCCAUGGCCGAGCAGAGAGGGACGCGGUCCGAGCGGAGGAGCGCGGCAAACCUGAAGGUGAGCAGGCAGGGGCGGACGCGCCAGGAACAAGAGAGCAGGUGCCAGGGACACGACAGCAGGGAGGAGCAGGAAGGUUGGGCGGCCGAGAAGGAGAAGUCCCAGCACCAUGGGAAGCAUGGGAGCUCUGGCCGGCGCGUAGGAAGAAGACGAGGGAGGCCGUGGCGAGUGAACACUAG